UCGAGCCGUAUGCGGGGAAACUCGCACGUACGGUUCUUCGGGGGCUCCGUGUCCGGAAGGGCACGGGGCUACCCAAU
rnacentral:ncRNA from 1 species